rnacentral:rRNA from 1 species
UACAGAGGUUGCAAGCGUUGUUCGGAUUUACUGGGCGUAAAGCGUGCGUAGGCGGUAUUGAGAGUCACAGGUGAAAUCCCAGGGCUUAACCCUGGAACUGCCUGUGAGACCUCAGUACUAGAGUGAGAGAGGGGUUGGUGGAAUUCCAAGUGUAGCGGUGAAAUGCGUAGAGAUUUGGAGGAACACCGGUGGCGAAGGCGGCCAACUGGCUCUCAACUGACGCUCAGGCACGAAAGCGUGGGGAGCAAACAGG